AUUAAUCUUAUAUAUAUUUGAUGAGCCAUUACUUUCAAAUGGGGAUGUAGCUCAAAUGGUAGAGCGCUCGCUUUGCAUGCGAGAGGCACGGGGUUCGAUCCCCCGCAUCUCCAUUAUAC